rnacentral:rRNA from 1 species
GAACUGAAGAGUUUGAUCAUGGCUCAGAUUGAACGCUGGCGGCAGGCCUAACACAUGCAAGUCGAGCGGAUGAAGGGAGCUUGCUCCUGGAUUCAGCGGCGGACGGGUGAGUAAUGCCUAGGAAUCUGCCUGGUAGUGGGGGAUAACGUCCGGAAACGGGCGCUAAUACCGCAUACGUCCUGAGGGAGAAAGUGGGGGAUCUUCGGACCUCACGCUAUCAGAUGAGCCUAGGUCGGAUUAGCUAGUUGGUGGGGUAAAGGCCUACCAAGGCGACGAUCCGUAACUGGUCUGAGAGGAUGAUCAGUCACACUGGAACUGAGACACGGUCCAGACUCCUACGGGAGGCAGCAGUGGGGAAUAUUGGACAAUGGGCGAAAGCCUGAUCCAGCCAUGCCGCGUGUGUGAAGAAGGUCUUCGGAUUGUAAAGCACU